ACAACAUGUACAGAAUCAUGUUCGACACAAGAUUCGAGAGUGAGGAUGAUCCUUUGUUUGUUAGGCUCAAGGCUUUGAACGGGGAGAGGAGCCGGUUGGCUCAGAGUUUUGAAUACAAUUACGGGGAUUUUAUUCCAAUCUUAAGGCCCUUCCUCAGAGGAUACUUGAAGAUCUGUAAGGAGGUUAAGGACAGGAGGUUGCAGCUCUUCAAGGACCAUUUCGUCGAAGAGAGGAAGUAUGUAUCUUUCUUUUUCCUGUUUUUGGGCAAACACGUUGGUUUUAGAAUUGAGUAAAC
rnacentral:lncRNA from 1 species